rnacentral:rRNA from 1 species
UACGUAGGGGGCAAGCGUUGUCCGGAUUUAUUGGGCGUAAAGAGCGUGUAGGCGGCUUUGCAAGUCCGUUGUGAAAACUCGAGGCUCAACCUCGAGACGCCGGUGGAAACUGCAAAGCUAGAGUCCGGAAGAGGAGAGUGGAAUUCCUGGUGUAGCGGUGGAAUGCGUAGAGAUCCGGAAGAACACCGGUGGCGAAGGCGGUUGGCUGGGCCGUUGCUGACACUGAUGCGCGACAGCGUGGGGAGCAAACAGG